GACGAACGCUGGCGGCGUGCUUAACACAUGCAAGUCGAACGGUGAAGCGCCUUCCUUUUUGGUGGGUGUGGAUGAGUGGCGAACGGGUGAGUAACACGUGAGUAACCUGCCCCCUUCUUCUGGAUAACCGCAUGAAAGUGUGGCUAAUACGGGAUAUUCUGGGUCUGUCGCAUGAUGGGUCUGGGAAAGAUAUUGUUUCGGUGGGGGAUGGGCUCGCGGCCUAUCAGCUUGUUGGUGGGGUGAUGGCCUACCAAGGCGGUGACGGGUAGCCGGCCUGGGAGGGUGGACGGUCCGACAGGGACGGAGACCCGGCCCAGACUCCGACGGGAGGCAGCAGUGGAGAAUAGUGCACAAUGGGCGGAAGCCUGAUGCAGCGACGCCGCGUGAGGGAUGGAGGCCUUCGGGUUGUGAACCUCUUUCGCCAGUGAAGCAGGCCUGCCUCGUUUGUGGGUGGGUUGACGGUAGCUGGAGAAGAAGCGCCGGCUAACUACGUG
rnacentral:rRNA from 1 species